rnacentral:misc_RNA from 1 species
AGGUUCAAAUAACCUGUAAUUUUUACCAUGAAUAGAUUAGACAUAAAGCUACAAUUCUUAUGGGAGACACUAAAACCUAGAAAUGACCAUAAGCAAGUCAAAUAGCUUGCACAAGUUCGGGUAUAAAAACUGCCAGAACCAGAAAUGACCUAAAAAUGACCUAAGCCAACCAUUUUAGUGCAUUCUGUCCAGCAUUGGUAAAUUGACCAUAUCUUGGUCUACACAACUCAGAAUGACAUGAAAUUUUGCCCCGCAUGCAAUAAGACAUAGACCUACAAGUUUGUAGUUUGGACCAAAACCUGAAAACUGAGGGAACUAGGUCGUCCGGCUAGAUCAAACUAGUAUCCCGGAAU